rnacentral:rRNA from 1 species
AGAACGAACGCUGGCGGCAUGCCUAAUACAUGCAAGUCGAACGAACUCUUCGGAGUUAGUGGCGCACGGGUGCGUAACGCGUGGGAAUCUGCCCCUUGGUUCGGAAUAACAGUUGGAAACGACUGCUAAUACCGGAUGACGACGAAAGUCCAAAGAUUUAUCGCCAAGGGAUGAGCCCGCGUAGGAUUAGCUAGUUGGUGAGGUAAAGGCUCACCAAGGCAACGAUCCUUAGCUGGUCUGAGAGGAUGAUCAGCCACACUGGGACUGAGACACGGCCCAGACUCCUACGGGAGGCAGCAGUAGGGAAUAUUGGACAAUGGGCGAAAGCCUGAUCCAGCAAUGCCGCGUGAGUGAUGAAGGCCUUAGGUGUAAAGCUCUUUACCCGAGAUGAUAAUGACAGUAUCGGAGAAUAAGCCCCGGAUAACUCCGCGCCAGCAGCCGC